CAGUCGCCACGGGAAUACGAAGGGGGCUAGCGUUGUUCGGAUUUACUGGGCGUAAAGGGCGCGUAGGCGGACUGAUAAGUCAGGGGUGAAAUCCCAAGGCUCAACCUUGGAACUGCCGUUGAUACUGUUUGUCUUGAGUUCGAGAGAGGUAAGUGGAACUGCGAGUGUAGAGGUGAAAUUCGUAGAUAUUCGCAAGAACACCAGUGGCGAAGGCGGCUUACUGGCUCGAAACUGACGCUGAGGCGCGAAAGCGUGGGGAGCAAACAGGAUUAGAUACCCCUGUAGUCCCUGUCUCUUAUAC
rnacentral:rRNA from 1 species